rnacentral:rRNA from 1 species
UGAUUCAGGGAGGUAGUGACAAGAAAUAACAACUUACGCCCUUUGGGUUGUAGGAUUGUAAUGAGGCUAAUGUAAAAUACUAGCCGAGGAACAAUUGGAGGGCAAGUCUGGUGCCAGCAGCCGCGGUAAUUCCAGCUCCAAUAGCGUAUAUUAAAGUUGUUGCAGUUAAAAAGCUCGUAGUUGAAUUUCUAGCUAUAAAUCAUGUGGCUUUUGUCCGUGUUUUAUAGUUAUCCGACAUUGAACUUAGUUCGGUAUUUAGUUAUCGGCUAAGCGAACUGUCAUUUUACUUUGAAAAAAUUAGAGUGUUUCAGGCAGGCAAUGGCCCGAAUAUCUUAGCAUGGAAUAAUGGAAUAGGACUCGUGUUCAUUUUAUUGGUUAUUGAACUAGAGUAAUGAUUAAAAGGGACAGUUGGGGGCAUUAGUAUUUAGUUGUCAGAGGUGAAAUUCUUGGAUUUAUUAAAGACUAACUUAUGCGAAAGCAUUUGCCAAGGAUGUUUUCAUUAAUCAAGAACGAAAGUUAGGGGAUCAAAGACGAUCAGAUACCGUCCUAGUCUUAACUAUAAACUAUACCGACUCAGGAUUGGUAGAAUAAACGUGUUCUAUCAGCACUGUAUGAGAAAUUAAAGUCUUUGGGUUCUGGGGGGAGUAUAGUCGCAAGGCUGAAACUUAAAGGAAUUGACGGAAGGGCACCACCAGGAGUGGAACCUG